UCAAGUCGUCAUGGAAACUGAGCUGUAAUCGUGUUAAAAGGCCUGCUUUUAAUUUUGACGGCCAACUUCUAACUCUUCGUAUAAGUCAGAGGUGUAAGAUAUCUAUUUCAAUGCACUUUUGACUUUGACAUAAUUCCUUUAAAAUUUUCUAGUUUCCAUAAAGAGGCUCUCCUACGGACUCCUUACAUGGUCACUUGUGUAUAAAUAUAACUUUUCCUCUUAGGGAUUUGCUAUACUUGUAUAGAUUUAUAGAAAUAAUAUAUUUUUUAAAAAAUUGGGUUAAUGUGAUAUACUUUUGGUAAAAAAAAUUAUAAACUAUAACGGUGAUUUAAAUAAUUCUAAAGAGUUUAUUAGUAAAUACAUUUAUGUUAAUCGUGAUAUUGUACUAAAUGCAAUACCUAGAGAAAUAGUGCCUUUUUUAAGAAGUUGUGGUGAUAGUCCGGUAGAAAGAUUUAACGAAUUUACAGCAUGCAUUAAAUUUCAGGAGAAAGAUAUUCCGAGUUAUGGAUGUAAUAAUCAAUUUUUAAGUCGUUAUUUCAAGAUAACCACAUGCUUGCUUUUGCAAUACACUGGAAUUCUUUAUUUGGAAAACACAUUGAUUGGAAAAAAGAAAUGUGGACGAGAAAGCAGAUGAUUGAUGGCUGUAACACCACUGACACCAUUACCAGUGCCUGCCCACUUGAAGCUGCCUAUUCCUGCCAGGAGAACUGAGAAACGGAAGUUGCACAAUCUUUGCCAGUUCAAUCCUAAACUCGCAUCCAGAAAGGCACUGAAGAAGUCUUUAAUGGAGUCUCCAAUCUAGUGAGGGAUACUAGUGAGCAGCAGUGGGCACUGCUGUUUUAUACCAGAAGACCAGAUGAUGCUGUGAACUGCAUUACCACCUCCAUCAAAUAAUAAGAAUGGAGCCCAGUUGUCAACAUGAUAUGGCACCCUUUGUGAACAACAGAAUGGCAGCCAAACCUGAUGUUAAAUAUUUUAAAUGACUCCAAAAUCAAAAACCAACAUCAAUGUUUUAACAAACCUGUCAAUGAUUAAAGACUACAUUACUUCCAGCUCCACUAUGAUGACAUCACUUCCACCCCCGAUUGAUGACGUCAAUUCCGUCGUCCUCAGAUGGCAUCACUUCCGGCUCCAACUGAUGACGUCACCUCCAUUUCCACUGAUAGAUGAUGUCACUUCCAUUUCCUCAAAUUCUCCUUCCUGCUGUUUCAAUAUAAAAGCUGCACCCUAACUGUAUUGAGUUUUUAAAUUUAAGU